ensembl:lncRNA
GGUCCUGUUCUCACUCUUCAACCCACGUCAUUGGAAGGGGAGGACUUGGAUCAGCAGGAUCCUUGGAUCCUAAUUGAAUCCAAGAACAAAAAGAAGGCCAAGCCUAGAAGGCCAAAAAAAUCCAAUUAGAGGAUCUGGGAACCUCAGUUCCUCUAGGAAUAAGACCAGAAAUAACUCAAAAGGCAAAGGAAAUCCAGAAUAGACUAGCAGGGUUGACACCCAAAGAGUGGCCCCCUGCCUACACCACACUACAUGUAACACAGCCACUGAAUUUAUGGAUUUGUUGCAACAAUUUAAAUACCUCAGGAGAGUGUACCAGCCUGGCUUUUGAGAUUAUGGGAUAUGGGGGCUGAAAGUGUGGUAAGUAAUGGGCCUGAGAUUUCCAGACUUGCAUCCAUUACCACAAAUCUGGCCCCCAGACUCAGGCUGUAUGUGACGGUAAUACAUAAUGAAGAAAUCCAUUAUUUCAGUGGAUAAUGGUAGCAUGUAGAAUUACAUGGCCAAACAAAAGUGACAUACCAAUAGAUACUGUUUUAUGGACCUCAGUCCAUGAAGAACUCCAAAAUUAUAUUAGAGAACUAGUGAUAAAGGAGGCCAUUUAUGAUGAUGCAUUUGAGACUCCUGACCUGUUUAAAUUUUUGGCAGGAAUGAAGGACCUCAUACUACAACAAGCCCCUCCCCACCACUAUGGCACACUGGUGUCCAUACUGAACCCUUUAGUGGACUUAGAGGUCAUGAUCUGGGAAAGACAGAGAACCCUCAGAACAGGUGCAAUUACUGAAUGUUGGAAGGGGCUGAGGUCCUCUCUGUUAACUAAAAGCAGGAGAUGAGCUGCAUGGACUCCUCAACUGGGGACCCUUAUGGGUAUCCUGAAAGCAGAUGCUUAAUGACUUAAUCUGGGCUGGGGUUCAAUUUGCUAAAAUUGGGCUGAUGAUCAAUCAUGUCCUCCUCCAGCUAUGGAGUCAGUUGAAGGACAAGUAAAAGUUUCAAAAUAUCCCUGAAAAAGCAAGGGUAAGAAUUACUGAAAAAAAAUACGAACGAGAACAUAGAACCUGGAAGAUUUCCUAGUUCCCAAUAAAAGGAAAAGCCUCCUCAAGUAACUUGGGCCACUAUGCCUGAGCCACCUGAGGAAGAAGAAUUGGCAAUUACUCAGUUAAUGGCAUGGCACAAGAUGCCAGCCCCCCUGCACCUAGGGCCACUGGGCAGGACCGGAGGCCCUAUGUCAAACUGAAUAUUUUUUUGGUCCCAAAAGAAUAUACAGCAAGUUAUGGCACUAGUUGACAUGGGCCCUGAAGAUGCUACAGACAAUAUGGGCAUCUCCACUUAGGAUCCAAAUUAUAGGCACCAAAAGUUGGAUAAGACCUCAAAUCAGCAAUGAAAAUCUGCUCACUGGUCCUGGAAAUGUAGAAUUAGAAUGGCCUUGGAAGUUGCAAGUAGGAUCAAAGUGGUGUGGCCUUCUUGAACCCUGGGUGAGAUUAUUGAAGGUUGGGGGAUCACUAGUCCUUUCAAUAUUAGGUACAUGGCCUGCAGACACUGGUCAGCAUCCCAGUUUUCAUUGCUAAGGGGACCUUAAUUAUGUCUCUUGAAAAUCAUGAUCUCCCUCCCACCCUUGGUACCCAAUAUGGUUAUGAAGCCUCAGAUAUAGGGCCAAAGGGUAUGGUGCAGGCAGCUGGGACGUGCCCCAGGACAAGCUCAAGUGUUGACCCAGAACAGGAAUGUGACCUGUAUCUUGCCAUGGAGGGUGGACUUCCCCCUUUUGGUACCUCUGAAACAUCUAUGCUGUUAGUCUCUUUGAGUCCACAGGAUCACUGGGAGGAGCAAUGUGACAUUAAGAUGCUCCAGUGUCACUACAAGAUCAGAGUGAGACCUGAUGGUGGACUAUAUUGGGCAGAUAGAAUGAGAGCUGGACCUUCCCUGGUCCAAGCAACAGUGUACCUCCAGAAGAACCAUUGAGUACUGGCCCACAAAGGAACAUGUUCUUCCACCAAUCAUCAAUCAUCUCAUAUUUUGUCAACCUACACCAUGAUGGGGAAAUGGUACAAAGCAUUGUGGUAUACUGGACUGCUGUAAUGGAAAGGACUUACCUUCAAUCUGCUCAAUCACUGGUUCCAACUGUCAAGGGUUGGAGUGUAGUGGAAGUGCCAGGUCAUGGCCUGAAACAGUGAUUAAGCACCUGGUGGGAAGGCAGGGUCAACCCAGGGGAUCUCAGGUGUGUGCAAUGACUCUGAGUGAAUGGAAGGGGUGGAGCCAGGAUCCUCAUUUUAAGGGUUGGCGGUGAAGGUAAGGGUAUCUUGCUGGAGAUCCCUGCUUAUGUGAGGCCUUCCAGAGGGGAAGAUGCAAACAAUUUUUUCAACUUAGAGCAAGAUUUUAAACACUUUUGGCCUUUUUAAGUCUUCCAAAAUGAGGCAAGGAGAACACACUGUUCAUAACUCUUGGUCUUCUCCUGUGUGUGACAGUAAUUCCUCAAAACAUUGUGCAAGACAAGUGAGAAGUGUCUUCAUCAAGGUAUUGAACUAAUGCCAGUAGCCCCUUAGGAAUGGUUACAAGGAGUUGUCACCACAACGUGACCUCCACUGAUGUUCCAAAGCCCAUUUGAAGCUGCAAGAGGAGUUGCCAAAACAAACAUCCAUACAAAAUAUACAAGGACUUGAAAUGAUGCCCAAUGUGUUUUUAUAUGUAUUGUAUCCUUUGUAUUUUUGUAAGAGGAAAGAUAAUGAAGGGAGUCAAAAAUGUGAAAUGUGUGCUCAUUCACAAUAUGAAUGAUGUUUACAAAACAUUCUUCUUAACAAUAGAGUUG